UCAUCCAUUUCGUAAACUAGCAUACGGUGAAAUGGAAAUCGUCGUACUGACGCUCUUCCUUUUUUCAAAUCAUCUAUCUAUUGCUUUUAACCCUUUCAUGUCCAAAGUUUUUCUAGUGCAUGCAGGGUUUCAAAACUAUUUUUCCUUGAAAACAGUGAGGUUAAGAAACACGAAAUCUUUUUUCAUAAAGAUAGGAGCUUCCCUCGCAGCGCUAGAAGCUGCUCAAUUUCUACCUUCUAAUGGUCAAUUCCCCUAGCAUAUUCGAUUUGAAACAGAUUUUGCUUAGUGACCGCACCCCACAACCCAUAACUCUGGAAUCGGAAAUCGGAUCGAGAUGAAAUUUAAUAGCCAUUUACGGGGAUAAAACACCUUUCAUUUUAGACCAAGUUUGGUCGAAUCUUCGGGAAACAAAUGAGACUGUAAUUCUGAAUUUGGAUACUUCCGCCGGGGCUUCCGGAACCGACGAUGGUGGCCAAUGUGUCCAAAGAGACUUUUAAUGGCUGUUAGUGACCUAGUACUACAAAUCUAAGUAGAUGUGGCACCAUUUUGAAAAAGUUUUCACCUUUAUACAUUCAUUACAGAAUUUUGAAAAUCGACAUUGUCUGGCUAAUCGUACUCUUCACUCUGCAAUUCCGGAACCGGAAGUCGGAUCCAUUAUAAAUUCAAUAGCAGCCUAUAGGAAUGUUGUACCUUUCAUUUGAGACUAAGUUUAUGAAAAUCGGUUCACCCAUCUCUGAGAAAAGUGAGUGAGAUUGCGGUCACAUACACACACAGAAUUGACGGAUUGUAUCGAAUGGUAUAUGUCACUCGGGCCUCCGGGUCUCCGUUUAAAAGACGGUUUUCAGAGCAGUUUUCUAUUGAGAAAGGCAAAACGUAAGUCGUAUGAAUAAGUUGUAGCAAAUAGUGGCACAUUUUACACUUUUAUAAUUAGUGGCUCAUGUCCCUUCAGAUUUGACCGCACUUACCACUUGAUGACGUCCCAGUUUGAUAUUUCUUUUGAGUGUUUUGAGAAAACUGAGAAAACGAAAAUCGUCAACGCAGGCCUGGAUACGGUUAAUGAAAUAUAAACAAAUUUUGGUAUCCUCGCAUCGUUGUCCGGAGCAGUUGGAUAUCAUUGUCAUCAAUAACCCCAGGGUUGAAAAAUUGAUUCGGUUCUGUGACUUCGAAUCUAAAGACUAUGGCGUGUGGCAUCGAAGAAUUCAUUCCGUGCAUUUUAGGUCGUCUUGUUUCAAACACCUAUUAAAUCUAUCUAAAGGAUGAUGAUCGAGUUGCACUUUUUGUUGCCAACGAACGGAAAACAGCGACCAGCUGCUGCAUUUGCUCCACCACCCGUUUUUUCUAAGAGAUCAGAGAUGUGUAUUUUCGCUCUGCAGUUUGUUGCUUUUAGCUAAAUAGUUGAAGAAAUUUUUCUCUUCAAAAUAUUUGAUUAUUUCUGCUGCCUCUGCACUCCUUGCUGUCGUUCGAUUCCGUUCACGUAGCUUCGACGUGCUGCCUCGUUGGUAGCGAGCCGCGUGGCUUGUUUCGAUAUUCCACCUGUUGCUAUGGGCCUUGGUUGCGUUUAGAUGACCUCGCAUCUGCGUGGUGACUUCAGGAAACUAUUCAGUCAUGUCAAACUGAGGCUUCCAAUAGUCAACACCGGUGAAACAACGUCAUCUCGGUUAUUGACUUCAGAUACAUCGAGCAAUACGGAACAUUUGAACAAGACUGUAGCUUACCCGAGCUCCGAGCCACUACAAUUCCAUUUGACUUUAGUCAUACCGGCUGGAAUAUAAUAUAGAAUUUUGGCUGUCUAAGAGACAAGUAUUUUAAUUGUGCAUUCAUUUUUUUUUUUUGUUUUUUGGUGAUGAUUAAUUCAUUUCAAAUAUAUUUGUAGUUGGGACUGUGGCCACAUUUGCAAUUAUGGCGCCACUGACAUAUGAGCAAGCGUAUGGGGGAUAGACCACUAGUGAAUA